GGACCCGUAGCCUAGCCAGGAUAGGGCGCCAGCCUUCUAAGUUGGAUUUCGUGGGUUCGAAUCCCACCGGGUCCG
rnacentral:tRNA from 1 species